rnacentral:rRNA from 1 species
GGUUUACCUGUGUGACUGCGUACCUUUUGUAUAAUGGGUCAGCGACUUAUAUUCUGUAGCAAGGUUAACCGCAUAGGGGAGCCGUAGGGAAACCGAGUCUUAACCGGGCGUUAAGUUGCAGGGUAUAGACCCGAAACCCGGUGAUCUAGCCAUGGGCAGGUUGAAGGUUGGGUAACACUAACUGGAGGACCGAACCGACUAAUGUUGAAAAAUUAGCGGAUGACCUGUGGCUGGGGGUGAAAGGCCAAUCAAACCGGGAGAUAGCUGGUUCUCCCCGAAAGCUAUUUAGGUAGCGCCUCGUGAAUUCAUCUCCGGGGGUAGAGCACUGUUUCGGCUAGGGGGCCAUCCCGGCUUACCAACCCGAUGCAAACUGCGAAUACCGGAGAAUGUUAUCACGGGAGACACACGGCGGGUGCUAACGUCCGUCGUGAAGAGGGAAACAACCCAGACCGCCAGCUAAGGUCCCAAAGUCAUGGUUAAGUGGGAAACGAUGUGGGAAGGCCCAGACAGCCAGGAUGUUGGCUUAGAAGCAGCCAUCAUUUAAAGAAAGCGUAAUAGCUCACUGGUCGAGUCGGCCUGCGCGGAAGAUGUAACGGGGCUAAACCAUGCACCGAAGCUGCGGCAGCGACGCUGAUGCGUUGUUGGGUAGGGGAGCGUUCUGUAAGCCUGUGAAGGUGUGUCGUGAGGCAUGCUGGAGGUAUCAGAAGUGCGAAUGCUGACAUAAGUAACGAUAAAGCGGGUGAAAAGCCCGCUCGCCGGAAGACCAAGGGUUCCUGUCCAACGUUAAUCGGGGCAGGGUGAGUCGACCCCUAAGGCGAGGCCGAAAGGCGUAGUCGAUGGGAAACGGGUUAAUAUUCCCGUACUUGGUGUUACUGCGAAGGGGGGACGGAGAAGGCUAUGUUGGCCGGGCGACGGUUGUCCCGGUUUAAGCGUGUAGGCUGGUUUUCCAGGCAAAUCCGGAAAAUCAAG